rnacentral:rRNA from 1 species
GACGAACCGUGCGAACGUUGUUCGGAAUCACUGGGCUUAAAGGGCGCGUAGGCGGCUUGCCAAGUCAGGGGUGAAAUCCUGCAGCUUAACUGUAGAAGGGCCUUUGAUACUGGCGAGCUCGAGGGAGGUAGGGGUAUGUGGAACUUCCGGUGGAGCGGUGAAAUGCGUUGAUAUCGGAAGGAACGCCGGUGGCGAAGGCGGCUCUCUGGGGUAUUGCUGACGCUGAGGCACGAAAGCCAGGGGAGCGAACGGG